rfam:Schistosoma curassoni strain Dakar, Senegal genome assembly, scaffold: SCTD_scaffold0017876
AUUCAGCCGAUGAGUCCCAACUUGGAGGAAACUCACGUCCUGGAU